GACGAACGCUGGCGGCGUGCCUAAUACAUGCAAGUAGAACGCUGAAGGAGGAGCUUGCUUCUCUGGAUGAGUUGCGAACGGGUGAGUAACGCGUAGGUAACCUGCCUGGUAGCGGGGGAUAACUAUUGGAAACGAUAGCUAAUACCGCAUAAUAGCAGUUGUUGCAUGACAACUGUUUGAAAGGUGCAAUUGCACCACUACCAGAUGGACCUGCGUUGUAUUAGCUAGUUGGUGGGGUAACGGCUCACCAAGGCGACGAUACAUAGCCGACCUGAGAGGGUGAUCGGCCACACUGGGACUGAGACACGGCCCAGACUCCUACGGGAGGCAGCAGUAGGGAAUCUUCGGCAAUGGACGGAAGUCUGACCGAGCAACGCCGCGUGAGUGAAGAAGGUUUUCGGAUCGUAAAGCUCGGUUGUAAGAGAAGAACGAGUGUGAGAGUGGAAAGUUCACACUGUGACGGUAUCUGACCAGAAAGGGACGGCUAACUACGUG
rnacentral:rRNA from 1 species